rnacentral:lncRNA from 1 species
CCGAACCGGCGGGUGCCGAUUAAAGGCGCCGCCUGCCGCUUUCUCCUCGCCCCCCAGCGCCGCAGCUCUCCGCCCCCUUCCCGAGUAGCGGGACCGGCCUUGAUAGCCCGGGCGCCCGCCCAGCGCGGAGACGGGCGCGCGGGGUCUCUCCGCGGCGGGGGCGCCGGGCCUCGGGGGAGCGCAGAAGUAGCCGCCCGGGGGUCAGGCCGGAGCGCCGCCGGGGCUUCUCCCUCCCUCCCUCGCCGGUUGCCUUUUUUUCCACUUCUCUCCCUCCCCCUUCCGUUUCUAUUUGUGAAGGGAGGAGGAAGGCAGAGGCGGGCUGGUGUCUCUGGCCGGGGACUGGAAUUUCAUCUGAAUGACUGCCCCUGCGCGCACGCAGCGCCCCGGAGUCGGCCCGCCCGCGCCCCGCAGCCCGCGCCCGGCCAGCCAGCCGGGGGACGCCUGCACCGUGGCCCGGGGACCGCCGGCCUGCCCCUCCCGCCCCGUCCGGAUCUAGCAGCCCUCGGCGCGGCCGCCCUCGCCUCCUGGCCCCGCAGACCCCGGGCUCCGGCCCCUGCGAGGGAGGUGCGGCGCCGACGAGCCAGGCAGGAGCCGCCGCUGCCGCCGCCGCCGGAAGAAGUGUGCUGCUCCCAAGCUCCGUCUGCCGCGGGGCGCGCCCCAAUGUCAGCCGCGGGGACGAGCGCAGGCCGCGGGCCGCCACUGCCCUAGCCGCGCCGACGGGGAGGCGGCCUCUUAUAUGGAAUUUGGACCCCGGCGCUCCCCUCCAAGGCUGGAGUCCCGGCCGCGGCCCUGGCGCAGUCCGCCGCCUCCCGCUAGGCGCUCGGGAGGAGGAGGAGACGCAGCCCGCUGCGCGCGCGGCGUGAGGACCGCGGCUCCCUCCUCCGGGGGGCGGGCACGCGGAAGG